AUGAUGUCCUGGUAAUUUUGUGCACAAAAUCACGAGGAGUUUUUGCUUCGUAGAUCAAUUACUCCACAGUACGUACCUAGUGUUGGGACAAUUUACUUGGGAUCAUGGUUGACGAAAGAUCAAAUGAGAAUUUUUAUCUUCAAUUUUUCAGAACAACAAGGGCUAAAAAGUGGGACCUUUGCAAGAACUUCAGUACUUUCGAUCUUUGAUGAUAGUAAAUAUCCAAAAAUUUCAUAUUAUAUUGUAAUAAAACGUAAUAAUGUAGUAUUCAUUUUUUUAGUAGACGAAUAUUGGAUACCGAUUAUAACAGCUUAGUGACAUUAAUUCAAAUUUUUGAAUGUUGAUUUGAUUGAUUGAUAGUGUUUAAAUCU